UAAGGAAUAUUGGUCAAUGGACGCAAGUCUGAACCAGCCAUGCCGCGUGAAGGAAGACGGCCCUACGGGUUGUAAACUUCUUUUGUACGGGAAAAAACCACCGGUCGUGAAUCGGUGCUGAUGGUACCGUAAGAAUAAGCAUCGGCUAACUCCGUGCCAGCAGCCGCGGUAAUACGGAGGAUGCAAGCGUUAUCCGGAUUCAUUGGGUUUAAAGGGUGCGCCGGCGGAAUGAUAAGUCAGUGGGUAAAUCCUACGGCUUAACUGUAGAACUGCCAUUGUUACUGUUGUUCUUGAGUACACUUGGAGUGGGCGGAAUGUGUCAUGUAGCGGUGAAAUGCUUAGAUAUGACACAGAACACCGAUCGCGAAGGCAGCUCACUAAGUUGUAACUGACGCUCAUGCACGAAAGCGUGGGGAUCAAACA
rnacentral:rRNA from 1 species